AUGACAAGCACUUUGAAAAGAGGGUGAAAAGAACCUGAAACCGUCAUGGGGGAAGCGGAUUGCGUUAAGGAAAAAGGAAUGUUGCGUGUUCAGCCAUUGAGUUGGUGCAUUGGCGCAGCGGACCGAUCUGUCGUGAGUUUUGCGCGGUUGAUGUUGAACUGUGCAGGGCUGAGGGCUCCCUCUGAAGCGAGGUUGAGGACGAUGGAUAUUGACGCGAUUCGACCCGUCUUGAAACACGGACCAAGGAGUCUAGCGCGACUGCGAGUCAGAGGGUGCAAGCCUGAGGGCGUAGUGAAAGCGAUUGUGAAAACAACAGUUUGGGGCGGCAUGAGAUUGUCAAUUUCAAGUCCGACCUUGAGCAGUUGCGCUGGGACCCGAAAGAUGGUGAACUAUGCCGGAGUAGGGCAAAGCCAGAGGAAACUCUGGUGGAGGCUCGUAGCGGUGCUGACGUGCAAAUCGCUCGUCCGACUUGGGUAUAGGGGCGAAAGACUAAUCGAACCAUCUAGUAGCUGGUUCCCUCCGAAGUUUCUCUCAGGAUAGCGGGCCGACGGGUGUUGUUUUGUGU
rnacentral:rRNA from 1 species